CCUGCUUACAUUAUUGCAAUGGACACCCAAUGAAUGGACGGAAACUCUUUUAUUUAUUAAAAGUCGAUAUACAAUGAGGCAGUUUUAUUGUGCAGUGAAUGCAUUAUCUGUACUGAUGGGUUCAUGGAUAGGAGCAGCUGUACUGUUAUUAGAUUGGGACACUCAAUGGAAGGCGUGGCCCAUUCCAUGUUGUAUUGGUUCAUUACUGGGAGGUGUAGUCAGUUUACUGAUUGUUAUAAUGAGGCGCCUUUUUUGGUAACGUGUGUGUGUGUAUACGCCUGUAUACAUCAUACAUGCAAGGGAUUGCCCCUGGGAAGAUCCCCUAAUUAAAAGAUACUUGAUCAGCACAAGAACAUAAUUAAUUUGAAUAUUUACAAGUAUGAUUGGAAUGUCGAACAACCUGUGAUUUCCUGUUAUUAUUUUGUUCAUUAAUUGUUCUAUAUUUAACUGAAUGAGGCAACAAUGCAUGCCUUUGAAGAAUCAUUGUUUGAUGCCUGUAUUGGACGCCUUUUCUGUCUCAAGUUUCUUUUCCUAAGAGCCAAAACUAAUCCAAAUAUGAGCAGUACUGUCAUGAAAGACAAUGGAGUUAUUAUAAAGAACCAUAUCAAUAUCAUGAUCUAUAAACAUGGAGAAGAGUUAUCAGUAAUUGAUCUUCUGAUGUCAACGUACUGGUUUUU